UCAAAUUCAUCAAUUUUAUCCACAACCGCAUGUAUUGUUUUGUUUUCCAUACCCUUUUUGUAUUCUUUAACUUGUUGCUGUUGCAUGAAUAAGGCAAAAGCCUCAAACAUGCUUUUGGAGUUGGAAUCAAAAUACAUAUCAUGUCUUCUAAUAGUACUUCUACUUGUAGCUCCAAUUAAAGCAUGACCUAUAGUUCCUCCUUCAACUCUCUUGUCUUUGUUUUUAUAAUUCAAAUAACCUAAGAAAAUUUCCAUAUACCUUUCAUCUUAAGCUUUUUAAAUUGGCUUCACCAAAUAUGUUGUAUCACGUAAAGUCUUGCUCAAAAAUGUACUAGGCACCUUAUUGUAGAAUGUAGAAAUUACAACAAUAAAAUUCUAAUUCUAAUAGAAUACUAAAUAAAUUCUAAUUGAACCUUAACAAUAUUAAACAAGCUUUAAUUAAAUUCAAAAGAAACCUUAAAGAAAUAAAAUAAAUAAUAAGAAGUCUUAAAAAAAUUAUAAGAUAAUCAACAAUAAACCUUAAAAGAGUCUUUAAGAAGUCCUAAAAAAAUAUUAAAAUAAUCAUAAUAUAUCUAAAAUAAAUCUCAACCAAGUUCUAAUUUAAUUCUAGUCGAAACCUUAAUGGACUUCAAUCAAAUUCUAGAUAGUUUCUAAACUCUAUAUCAAAUCCUAAUCAAAUUUUAAACCUUAAAUCAAAUCCUAGACAAAUUCUAAAUCCUAAACCAAAUCCUUACCAAAUCCUAGAAAAAUCUCAAAUCCUAACUAAAUCCUAGCCAAAUCCUAAAUUCCAAAUUAAACUCUAGACAAAUCCUAAAUCCUAAAUCAAAUUCUAAUAAAAUCCUAAUCAAAUUUUAAAUCCUAAAUCAAAUUCUAAUCAAAUCUUAAAUCCUAAAUUAAAUCCUAAUCAAAUCCUAAAUCCUAAAUCAAAUCUUAAGGUACUUAAGAACCUUAAUAUCUUUUGAUUAAACCAUUGAUCUUAUUUAAAAUUUUAUACACCUCUCAA
rnacentral:lncRNA from 1 species